UACGUAGGGGGCAAGCGUUGUCCGGAAUCAUUGGGCGUAAAGCGCGUGUAGGCGGUCCGGUAAGUCCGCUGUGAAAGUCGGGGGCUCAACCCUCGGAUGCCGGUGGAUACUGUCGGGCUUGAGUACGGAAGAGGAGUGUGGAAUUCCUGGUGUAGCGGUGAAAUGCGCAGAUAUCAGGAGGAACACCAAUGGCGAAGGCAGCACUCUGGGACGUGACUGACGCUGAGACGCGAAAGCGUGGGGAGCAAACAGG
rnacentral:rRNA from 1 species